rnacentral:rRNA from 1 species
GUGGGGAAUCUUAGACAAUGGGGGCAACCCUGAUCUAGCCAUGCCGCGUGAGUGAUGAAGGCCUUAGGGUUGUAAAGCUCUUUCAGUGGGGAAGAUAAUGACGGUACCCACAGAAGAAGCCCCGGCUAACUCCGUGCCAGCAGCCGCGGUAAUACGGAGGGGGCUAGCGUUGUUCGGAAUUACUGGGCGUAAAGCGCACGUAGGCGGAUCGGAAAGUUGGGGGUGAAAUCCCAGGGCUCAACCCUGGAACUGCCUUCAAAACUAUCGGUCUGGAGUCCGAGAGAGGUGAGUGGAAUUCCGAGUGUAGAGGUGAAAUUCGUAGAUAUUCGGAGGAACACCAGUGGCGAAGGCGGCUCACUGGCUCGGUACUGACGCUGAGGUGCGAAAGCGUGGGGAGCAAACAGGAUUAGAAACCCGGGUAGUCC